GAAUCUUGCGCAAUGGUCGAAAGACUGACGCAGCGACGCCGCGUGAAGGAGGAAGCCCUUCGGGGUGUAAACUUCUGUUACCUGGGAAGAAACUCGGAUUUCGAUCCGACUGACGGUACCGGGGAAGAAAGCACCGGCUAACUCUGUGCCAGCCGCCGCGGUAAUACAGAGGGUGCGAGCGUUGUCCGGAAUCACUGGGCGUAAAGGGCGCGUAGGCGGCUUCUCACGCGUGCGGUGAAAGCUCGGGGCUUAACUCCGAGUCGGCCGUGCGAACGGGGAGGCUUGAGUCUGGUAGAGGUCGAUGGAAUUCCGGGUGUAGCGGUGGAAUGCGUAGAGAUCCGGAAGAACACCGGUGGCGAAGGCGGUCGACUGGGCCAGAACUGACGCUGAGGCGCGACAGCGUGGGGAGCAAACAGG
rnacentral:rRNA from 1 species